AAAGUUCUGCAGGUCUUUCAAAGUCUUUGAUUGGAAUGAGCACUUCUUCAUGAUACUCUUUUGUACUGACUGUCUAAUAAUUAUAUUUGAGGGCUACAAAUACAACAAUCAACUGCUUAGAGCUAGAAUGACAAAACAUCUCUGCAAUGAUUUUGCAGUAAUCUUCCAAUGCCCAACAACAGUCAAUAAGCAGGAAGGUCUAUGAAGACUCCUUCCUGAAGAGCUUUUUUCCUCUUACAAAAUGAGAACAAACCACAAUUUCCACCUGUGCAGAAAAUGAAAACUUGCUUCAAUUUUGCCUUCCCUAUCAAUUUGCACAUGCUGGGAAAUACAAUACACCUACUCUCAUAAGAACACUUAUAUAUGUGAACCUAUCUUUUCUCCUUGGAAAAUAUUUUUGAAGUACUGACAUGUUUCCAUAGUGACACAGGUCUGGCCCAACUCAGAUGAAUUAAGGUGGCUGUUAAAGUAAGUGGAACACUUCCACUGAAAAAAUAACAAAACCCAACAAAGCUGUUCCUAACUUUACUCUCCUUGAGCUACAGCAGAAUUUCUUUUUAGAUGCUGGAACUGUGGGCUAAGAAUAGAACUAUGAUUAGCUGCCAGAAACAACCUCAUUGUUCAAGAGAGCAACAUUUCAAGAAAACUUUCUAAUUAAUGUCUGUCUGUCCUGUUAUUGCAGGAAACUGAUGUAUUUCCCUUACUAAGCUUACGAGAUUUCAGCUUGGGGCUAAUUAGCUGGCAGAAAGUAAUACAUAAAAUUCCUGCUAAACUGUGGUAGUGAAGUAAGAAGCAGAGCUUCACAGAAAAGUAUGGUGUGGGCCACGUAUGAAAGAAGGGUGCUGUGCAAUUCCCAGCUCCGUGGUGGAAUGUUUCCAAGUCACAGAUUGCUUUGGUAGUUGAAACAGGAAUCAAAACUGGAAUCUAUAUAAAGACUCAAUAUGAGAUACCCUGAAAUUUUGAACACUGCAGAUAUGACUCUGUUUUAGACAUUCUUUUGUUUCCCACAUGCCACAUGUAGAAAUAUACUAAAGCCCUCUCAUUUUUUCAUCUCCCUAGUUUUUCCUACAAUUUAGCACUGGUGAAAAACAUCACACCAGUAUAGCACAAGCCCUAUAGCACAAGAUACUUUCUUACGUAACCAUAUCAAGAUGUCUUUAAUUGCAAAAGAUCAGCAGCAGGUGAGAAAAGCAGCUCAAGCUACUACUGACAAUAUACCUAGGCUGGUCUAACAGUUUGCUUCAAAAAAUAGGUCAUUCCAUCCACUUCCUUCAUGUUCAUCUCACUUUGUGCAUUUGGGUAUGAAAAUGUACACUAAAAUGAAGCUUGCAGGCAGUAUCUUUACAUCAAGCAGCUAAACCACAGAUACUUCUAUGAACCUCUAAACUCCCAAGGAAUGAAAAAUAAAUUAGGUCAUAGUACCUAUGUUUAGUAUCCAAUCUAACACUGGCUGCUUGGACUCUUCUUACUCAGGUAGAGCAAAAACUUUCAUCAAUGCAUUUGUAGUCUGAAUACAGAAGUAUAUCAGGAAAAAGAAGAAAAUCCCCACAGAACAAAAUCUGAGGGAACUCUAGCCAGUUUCCUGCUUUUUCUAAAUACUGGAGAACUGUAUCCUGUCUAUGUAAAAAAAUAGAUCUACCAUGUUUUUAAUGGGCCUCCACUUUGGCAAAAGGCUGUAAAAGUUAUUUUUUAUAAGAAUUUUAAAUUACAGUAUCUGGCAGAAAAAAAACCAUUUGCUUCCUGUCAAACUGACAGGUGACAUGAGUUCCUAGCAAGGUACCCAGAAAAAAAGGUGGAUUACAUAAUAAUUAUCUUACUCCACUCUCCAAAGAAGGAGAUCUGCACAGCAAAUACAGGUAGGCAGGCUAAAAAUAUGACUGCAUUAUGUCUGAUCAAAGACAGCUGCAAGGAUAUGAUGGCAGGUAAAGCACUGCUUUAUGCUUUGCUGUUUCUUUUGUUCUAAACAGAGGGAAUAUCCAGGAUGAGAAACAGAACACAGGUGCAGCUUUGGAAUGCAUUCUUUGUACAAUUUGUUUCCAGAUCAGUUUAUAAAGGGGGAAGUAGAACUGUAAGCUGACAGAAGAUGUAAUACCAACUUUCAAAUUUACCAAACAAUCAAACAAAUGGUGCACUCUGGAUUUAUAGUCAUGUCGGUUUGAAGCCAAAGAACUAUGAAUGAAAAUCCAUUUUUUCUGUCUACAAUAAAUACUUCAGGACACUUCCUUGUUACUUGA